rnacentral:rRNA from 1 species
GAUGAACGCUGGCGGCGUGCCUAAUACAUGCAAGUCGAGCGAACAGAUAAGGAGCUUGCUCCUUUGACGUUAGCGGCGGACGGGUGAGUAACACGUGGGUAACCUACCUAUAAGACUGGAAUAACUCCGGGAAACCGGGGCUAAUGCCGGAUAACAUGUUGAACCGCAUGGUUCUACAGUGAAAGGCGGCUUUGCUGUCACUUAUAGAUGGACCCGCGCCGUAUUAGCUAGUUGGUGAGGUAACGGCUCACCAAGGCAACGAUACGUAGCCGACCUGAGAGGGUGAUCGGCCACACUGGAACUGAGACACGGUCCAG